GCGGGAGUAGCUCAAUUGGUAGAGCGCAACCUUGCCAAGGUUGAGGUUGAGGGUUCGAACCCCUUCUCCCGCU
rnacentral:tRNA from 1 species